CCUACGGGAGGCAGCAGUGGGGAAUAUUGGGCAAUGGGCGCAAGCCUGACCCAGCAACGCCGCGUGAAGGAGGAAGGCUUUCGGGUUGUAAACUUCUUUUAAGGGGGAAGAGCAGAAGACGGUACCCCUUGAAUAAGCCACGGCUAACUACGUGCCAGCAGCCGCGGUAAUACGUAGGUGGCAAGCGUUGUCCGGAUUUACUGGGUGUAAAGGGCGUGCAGCCGGAGAGACAAGUCAGAUGUGAAAUCCACGGGCUCAACCCGUGAACUGCAUUUGAAACUGUUUCCCUUGAGUGUCGGAGAGGUAAUCGGAAUUCCUUGUGUAGCGGUGAAAUGCGUAGAUAUAAGGAAGAACACCAGUGGCGAAGGCGGAUUACUGGACGAUAACUGACGGUGAGGCGCGAAAGUGUGGGGAGCAAACAGGAUUAGAUACCCUUGUAGUC
rnacentral:rRNA from 1 species